rnacentral:rRNA from 1 species
UGUGUUAAGUUGGAACUGCUGGGGAGGGGGGAUACCCGUAUAGUUCAUGAGCUAGCGACUAUCACAUAGUCGCAUUCCCCCAAAUUGGUGUUUUUGUGUGAGACAAGGCAGAAGGCUGAUAAGAUGAGAAGGAUCCGUGGUCGGCUGGGGUUGAAGGGCUUCACCGGAGUGGACAGCACUGGGAUGAGUGGAGGGUUGGCUCUGUUUUGGCAUGAGGCUUAUGAGGUGGAAAUAAUUGAUAAAGAUGAAUGGUACAUUGAUGCCCUUGUGCGAGUUGCGGAGGGAGAAACCCAAUGGAGGAUUACUUGCGUAUAUGGAGAACCCAGAGUGGAGAACCGUCAUCUUAUGUGGGAGAAUCUAUAG